rnacentral:rRNA from 1 species
UACGUAGGGGGCUAGCGUUAUCCGGAAUUACUGGGCGUAAAGGGUGCGUAGGUGGUUUCUUAAGUCAGAGGUGAAAGGCUACGGCUCAACCGUAGUAAGCCUUUGAAACUGGGAAACUUGAGUGCAGGAGAGGAGAGUGGAAUUCCUAGUGUAGCGGUGAAAUGCGUAGAUAUUAGGAGGAACAUCAGUUGCGAAGGCGGCUCUCUGGACUGUAACUGACACUGAGGCACGAAAGCGUGGGGAGCAAACAGGAUUAGAUACCCCGGUAGUCCCUGAG